GGUCUUGUGGCCAAAUUGGAAAGGCAUCUGACUACGAAUCAGGAGAUUGCAGGUUCGAGCCCUGCCAAGAUCA